GGUCGAAUAUAAAGAAAUCAAAACUAAUGAGUAUGCAACAUUUGAAAGUUAAAUCUAUCUCUAAAAACACUCCAUUAAUUAAUUUAUAAACAUGUUUUCUUACAAAACUAUUUAAAUUUCAUUUAAGUUUUGUGUUUUACUCUUUCAUAUCAUGAAAGGUUUAAACUAUUUAGGAAAAUGAUUUUUUUAAUCUAAAAUGAUUAUUAAAUGUGCUAGAGAGACAAAUACAAUUAACUGAUGUAGUUGAAAUUUUUUUAAUAAUUAUUUUAAUAUUAAGAACGACUUUUUAAAAGUUUAUAAAUUACAAUAUUAUUUUAAUUUAUGUAAGGAGAGUUCAAAUUUUAAAAGAUUUAAAUUGAUAAAACCAUUUCUUUAUUUCAGAGAAAGAUAUAUGGCUGAAGUUAUGAAAUUUGUAUAUAUUAUGAUUAUCUUUAUUUCUAUCUUUCUUGUGCAAUUCAACAAUGGAAGAGUUGCUACAUGUGGAAAAGAUACAGAUUGUACAAGUUUUCUUGUGUGGUGCACACCCCCACUGAUAGUGAAGUGUAAUAAUAGACAAUGCAAAUGUGCUGAUGUGAUAGCAUUUAGUUAAUAAUGUUCACAUAUGAUUCUAAAUUUAAUUUGGUAUCCAAGAGAGUAUACAAGUUCUCUUCAAGAAUAAUUAAUACUCUUCGAAUGCUCUUCUAAGCUUUUAA